AGCGAACGCUGGCGGCAGGCCUAACACAUGCAAGUCGAACGAACCUUUCGGGGUUAGUGGCGGACGGGUGAGUAACACGUGGGAACGUGCCUUUAGGUUCGGAAUAACUCAGGGAAACUUGUGCUAAUACCGAAUGUGCCCUUCGGGGGAAAGAUUUAUCGCCUUUAGAGCGGCCCGCGUCUGCUUAGCUAGUUGGUUGAGGUAAUGGCUCACCAAGGCGACGAUCAGUAGCUGGUCUGAGAGGAUGAUCAGCCACAUUGGGACUGAGACACGGCCCAAACUCCUACGGGAGGCAGCAGUGGGGAAUCUUGCGCAAUGGGCGAAAGCCUGACGCAGCCAUGCCGCGUGAAUGAUGAAGGUCUUAGGAUUGUAAAAUUCUUUCACCGGGGAUGAUAAUGACGGUACCCGGAGAAGAAGCCCCGGCUAACUUCGUG
rnacentral:rRNA from 1 species